UACAGUGUACUUAUUUCAGAGAGAAUGGCUAGAGUUAGUAUGGAAGAUUUGGAGAUGAAAGAAGAAAUGAAUAUCAAAGAGGAAAUAGUAUCUCCCUCUACUGUAGAGGAUACAUGUACUGGAGAGGAUACAUGUACUGCAAAAGAUAUAUUUACUGCAGAGGAUACAUGUACUGGAGAGGAUACAUUUAGCAUAGAGGACAAAUGUACUGUUUAUAUAAAGGAAGAAGAUGUAAAGAUUGAAACCACAACGAUUAAAGAUGAACUGAUGGAUUAUGAAGAAGAAUCAAUGCAAAAAAACAUUAAGAAUAAAUCAGAGAAAGUAAGAUAUCCCUGUUCUAUGUGCUCAUUUACAGGAGGCACUACAAGUCAUCUUAGAAGGCACAUUGACAUUAAACAUAAAGGAAUUAGAUAUUCUUGUUCUAGUUGUCACUACUCUGCAACUACACCACAGGGUUUAAGAAUACAUGUUGAGUUUAAACAUGAGGGAAAAAGGUAUCCUUGCGAUAAAUGUGAAUACAUUGCUGCUUUAGCUAAAGAUCUCAAAAGACACACUGAGAUUAUUCAUAUGGGAAUAAGAUAUCCCUGUGAUAAAUGUGAAUACGCUGGAUCGUCGGCAUAUCAUUUAAAAAUACACAUUCAGAGUAAACACGACGGAGUGAGAUAUCCCUGCGAUAAGUGUGAAUUAACUUUCUGUUCUCCAAAAGAUCUUCGGAGACACAUUGAGAUCAAACACGAAGGAGUGAGAUAUCCUUGUGAUAUGUGUGAUUACACUACGACUAGACCCAAUUUACUUAGAAAUCAUAUUGAAGGUAAACAUGAAGGAGUAAGAUAUCCUUGUGAUAAGUGUGAAUACGCUACAACUUCGGCAAGAACACUUUUACAGCACAUUAAAGUUAAUCACGAAGGAGUGAGAUAUCUUUGUGAUCAAUGCGAAUAUGCUUCCACUACAAGAAGUCAUCUGAAGAAACACAUUGAAAAGAAACAUGAGACAAAGUAUCCGUGUGAGAAAUGUGAGUUUAUAGGGGACAAAGCUAUUGAUCUGAGGAAGCAUUGUAAAAGUGAACACAAAGACUGACAAGUGACAGGGAAUAAUAUUGAAAAUAAGUUUAGACCGUCGAAAUCUCGAUUAAAACUUUAAAAUGAUAAUAUUUCCGAAAGAGAAUAUCUGUAAAUAUGCUCCGAUCCUCUCCCAUCUAUCUUUCUACCUGAAUUGGCGUAUUUCUAUGAGAAGGGGUUUAUUUGUUGGCUUAUUAUAGAUUAGUGUCAUACUUCACCUGGUUCAUUAAUUUACAUCAUUUGGUGGAAAUUUUGGUACCCAAUACCCAGUCAUUAAACUGCUAAAUAAUCUUGAGUCUUUUAUUUUUAACUAUAUGAAAUAUCUUAAACGACUUUUGAAUUUCAGAAUCUUCUAGCUUUAUUCCGGGUGAAAUUCUGAAAAAUAUACACCCCUGCUGCAAUCUAGCAUCAGGAGUGAACGAACGCUCCAUUGCUCACCCAUGUAUCCGCCCCUGAAUGAUCAUAAAAUAGUUUACAUGAACAUAAAAAUAAUUUAAUGAAAUAGUUUUUUUGUUUGGGCUAUUUAUAGUGACAAAUGGACAUAGUUGGAUAUGUGGCCGCAGCGCCUGGCCCACUAGCCUGUCCUAGCCGUAGCGCUCGGCCCACUAGCCUGUCCUAGCCGUAGCGCUCGGCCCGAAAACUGUCUUAACCUCUCCUAACCCUGAAAUAAUACAAAACAAAAAAUAAUUCAAAUUACUAAAGUAAAUAGUUCAAAUGAAAAAUCUAUGUU